GGGGGUAUAGUAGAGUGGUAAUACGCGGCAUUCGCAUUGCCGAGACCCGGGUUCGAUUCCCGGUACCUCCACCU
rnacentral:tRNA from 1 species